AGAGUUUGAUCAUGGCUCAGACUGAACGCUGGCGGCAUGCCUAACACAUGCAAGUCGAACGGCAGCGCGGGUAGCAAUACCUGGCGGCGAGUGGCGGACGGGUGAGGAAUACAUCGGAAUCUACCCUGUCGUGGGGGAUAACCAACCGAAAGGUUGGCUAAUACCGCAUACGACCGAGAGGUGAAAGCGGAGGACCGCAAGGCUUCGCGCGAUUGGAUGAGCCGAUGUCGGGUUAGCUAGUUGGCGGGGUAAGAGCCCACCAAGGCGACGAUCCGUAGCUGGUCUGAGAGGAUGAUCAGCCACACUGGGACUGAGAAACGGCCCAGACUCCUACGGGAGGAAGCAGUGGGGAAUAUUGGACAAUGGGCGCAAGCCUGAUCCAGCAAUGCCGCGUGUGUGAAGAAGGCCUUCGGGUUGUAAAGCACUUUUAUCGGGAGCGAAAAGCGGAAGGCUAAUACCCAUCCGUCAUGACGGUACCCGAUGAAUAAGCACCGGCUAACUUCGUGCCAGCAGCCGCGGUAAUUC
rnacentral:rRNA from 1 species